rnacentral:tRNA from 1 species
GCGAAAGUGGCGGAACUGGCAGACGCGCCAGACUUAGGAUCUGGUACCCGAAAGGGUAUGGGGGUUCGAGUCCCUCCUUUCGCACCA